CCUACGGGUGGCUGCAGUGAGGAAUAUUGGUCAAUGGGCGCGAGCCUGAACCAGCCAAGUAGCGUGAAGGAUGACUGCCCUACGGGUUGUAAACUUCUUUUAUAAAGGAAUAAAGUGAGGCACGUGUGCCUUUUUGUAUGUACUUUAUGAAUAAGGAUCGGCUAACUCCGUGCCAGCCGCCGCGGUAAUACGGAGGCUCCGAGCGUUAGCCGGAUUUAUUGGGGUUAAAGGGAGCGUAGAUGGGUUGUUAAGUCAGUUGUGAAAGUUGGGGGCGCAACCUGAGAAUUGCAAUUGAUACUGGCAGCCUUGAGUACAGGUGAGGUAGGCGGAAUUCGUGGUGUAGCGGUGAAAUGCUUAGAUAUCACGAAGAACUCCGAUUGCGAAGGCAGCUUACUAAACUGCCACUGACAUUGAUGCUCGAAAGUGUGGGUAGCAAACAGGAUUAGAUACCCUUGUAGUC
rnacentral:rRNA from 1 species